rnacentral:rRNA from 1 species
UGGAUAACCUACCUAUAAGACUGGGAUAACUUCUGGAAACCGGAGCUAAUACCGGAUAAUAUUUUGAACCGCAUGGUUCAAAAGUGAAAGACGGUCUUGCUGUCACUUAUAGAUGGAUCUGCGCUGCAUUAGCUAGUUGGUAAGGUAACGGCUUACCAAGGCAACGAUGCAUAGCCGACCUGAGAGGGUGAUCUGCCACACUGGAACUGAGACACGGUCCAG